UUCCUGUUUCCCAAGCAUUUGAUUCCCCGGCUUCCCCGGUCUGCCAUUCCUCUCUCUGAGUACCUGGAUCCCCCACACCUGAACUUCAUACGUUCGACAGUGGAGCUGUGUAUCAACACCUAGAACCAGGCCACCGAGCUGUGUGUUGGGCUGGUGCUGCUUGCUUUUUCUGGAUAAAUAAAUAAUGCUGCAAAAAAGAAUUUGAGCAGCAUUGCGGUUUACAGCGAGAGAGAUGAUUGCUUCUGUUCAGUGCUGCACGUGAGAGGUCAGAACACAACAUGCCUCACAGCACAGCAAUCAGUAUGGGGACCGUGUUGGCGACUCUGCA